rnacentral:rRNA from 1 species
UACGUAGGGUGCAAGCGUUGUCCGGAAUUAUUGGGCGUAAAGAGCUUGUAGGCGGUUUGUCGCGUCUGCUGUGAAAUUUCGGGGCUCAACCCCGAACUUGCAGUGGGUACGGGCAGACUAGAGUGUGGUAGGGGAGACUGGAAUUCCUGGUGUAGCGGUGAAAUGCGCAGAUAUCAGGAGGAACACCAAUGGCGAAGGCAGCUCGCUGGAACGGUACUGACGCUGAGGCGCGAAAGCGUGGGGAGCGAACAGG